rnacentral:rRNA from 1 species
GGGCUACACACGUGCUACAAUGGCAUAUACAAAGAGAAGCGACCUCGCGAGAGCAAGCGGACCUCAUUAAGUAUGUCGUAGUCCGGAUUGGAGUCUGCAACUCGACUCCAUGAAGUCGGAAUCGCUUGUAAUCGUAGAUCAGAAUGCUACGGUGAAUACGUUCCCGGGCCUUGUACACACCGCCCGUCACACCAUGGGAGUGGGUUGCAAAAGAAGUAGGUAGCUUAACCUUCGGGAGGGCGCUUACCACUAUGUGAUUCAUGACUGGGGUGAAGUCGUAACAAGGUAACCGUAGGGGAACCUGCGGUUGGAUCACCUCCUUACCUUAAAGAA